AAGCUGGAAUUGCUAGUAAUGGCAGGUCAGCAUACUGCCGUGAAUACGUUCCCGGGCCUUGUACACACCGCCCGUCACACCAUGAGAGUUGGGAAUACCCGAAGCCUGUGAGCUAACAUUUAUGAGGCAGCAGUCGAAGGUAGAAUCAAUGAUUGGGGUGAAGUCGUAACAAGGUAGC
rnacentral:rRNA from 1 species